GUGCUCACUUCAGCAGUGCGUAUACUAAACCUGGAAUGAUACAGAGAAAAUUAGCAUGGCCCCUGCACAAGGAUGACACACAAAUUUGUGAAGAAAAGGAAAGUUGU